rnacentral:lncRNA from 1 species
GGCUGACUUAUCUGUCCUGUAUGGCAUGGAGACCAGAUGGAGAGCUGAGGGCAGGUGUGUGUCCUGCUCUGGUUCCAUCUUGGUGCAGAUGCCCACCUGCAAGGCAGAGGGCAAGGAAGAAAGGAGCAGCCUCCUGCCCUGCUUCCCUGUGCUGCUCUCUCCUGCACAGCACUGCUCACCGGGUUGCUGGUCCGAAAAUGGUUUCCUUGGCCAUUUGGGGCUCACUGUGUCACCAACACCACGUUGACACGGCCACUGCAAUCAGUUGGUGUGGUGCCAGCACCUGCAGUGGGGUCAGG